ACACUCUCCCCUUAGGUUAAGAAUGCAGCUACGAGAUAUAUUAGAAGAUUAAAAAGUAUAAUAUAAAUUACAUGGAAGCUUAAACUUAUGCAAAUCUAAGCAUAUGCGCUCCAAAAUUAUCUGAUAUUAACCAUGUGGAAUAAAAUUGGAACAGAUAAAAGAAAGGAGGUGAGGAAUUUAUGGCGAAGUUCUGGAUUGGGCACAGGCGUAAACUAACUCUGGCUGAUGAAUCGAACUCUCGUGACCUAGCAGACCUUCCAGAAAUAGAAUGAGUAUCGAGGAUCACCCAAAAAAGAAAUACAGGAAAUUGGACGGCUGAUAAGAAGUGGACAGCGAGGGAUCACCAUUGGAUUGAUUGUGCUGAUCCUGAGCAUCCUCCUCCAUUUCUGGGCGAGGCCCUGUCAGAUUGGAUCACUGGUUCUGCAAAUUUUCAGUUUUUCUUUUAUUUUUACCAGUGAUGGAGGUUGAGAAAAAAAAAUGGCGGUGAGAUACUCGUCUGAUGAGAUGAAGCAGGAGAAGCGAAAAAAAAGAGACUUACUCGGCUUUCUCGGGGCGGGAGAUCAGGAACUACUGGGAUGGUUUUCUUUACAGGGGGAGAGGCCGAGGCCGAGGCCGAGACCGAGCUGGGGAUGGGAAGAGAGGAGAGGAGGCAAGAGCACACAUUAGCGACCUCUUUUUAUUGGUCUGUCGUUCCAGAAGAUUCCUCUCAUUCUU
rnacentral:lncRNA from 1 species